GUGCUGACUUAAGCAGCACAUAUACUAAAAUUGGAAUGAUACAGAGAAAAUUAGCAUGGCCCCUGAGCAAGGAUGACACACAAAUUGGUGAAGUGUUCCAUAAUUUU